rnacentral:rRNA from 1 species
ACGGGAGGCAGCAGUGGGGAAUAUUGCACAAUGGGCGCAAGCCUGAUGCAGCGAUGCCGCGUGAGGGAAGAAGGUUUUCGGAUUGUAAACCUCUGUCAACAGGGACGAAAAUGACGGUACCUGUGAAGGAAGCUCCGGCUAACUACGUGCCAGCAGCCGCGGUAAUACGUAGGGAGCAAGCGUUAUCCGGAAUUACUGGGUGUAAAGGGAGUGUAGGCGGGACUGUAAGUCAGAUGUGAAAUAUGCCGGCUCAACUGGCAGACUGCAUUUGAAACUGUAUUUCUUGAGUGCUGGAGAGGUAGAUGGAAUUCCUUGUGUAGCGGUGAAAUGCGUAGAUAUAAGGAAGAACACCAGUGGCGAAGGCGAUCUACUGGACAGUAACUGACGCUGAGGCGCGAAAGCGUGGGGAGCAAACAGGAUUAGAUACCCUGGUA